rnacentral:sRNA from 1 species
CUACAUUAAUAAAAUCAUCAAGAUUUAAGCCACCAUUUUGAACAUAGUGUAAAUUUAUCAUAUCAAAUAUAUAAAAGAUACAUAUAAAUCAACAUCUAUGCAUUGUGCCAAAAGCAAUUUGGCUCGGCAAAAGAAUAUGUGUUUGCUGUGUCCCACACUUGGGUAACAUAGUUGGGCUUGUGGAAGCCCAUAUUUUGGAGCCUGAAGCUGGGGUUUGACAGUGCCAAGAGUUUAGUGAACAAGAUCAUACAUAUCAAGUCGUUGUAUUUAUUGAUAUUUGAUGUGAUGAUAGAUGGAAUGCACUCAAGUUCUAACACGUAGAUCUAAAUAUUCGUCAAUCGUGAUCGUGAUCGCCUUUUGCCUGAAACAAUAAGGCUCAUGGGGUAGUAAAUUCUAGUAAAGGAAGAAACCAUAUAACAGUCGACAACAG